GACGAACGCUGGCGGCGUGCUUAACACAUGCAAGUCGAGCGGUAAGGCCCUUUCGGGGGUACACGAGCGGCGAACGGGUGAGUAACACGUGGGUGACCUGCCCUCAGCUCUGGGAUAAGCCUGGGAAACCGGGUCUAAUACUGGAUAUGACUCCAUGACGCAUGUUGUGGGGUGGAAAGCCUUGUGCGGCUGAGGAUGGGCCCGCGGCCUAUCAGCUUGUUGGUGGGGGUGANGGCCUACCAAGGCGACGACGGGUAGCCGGCCUGAGAGGGCGACCGGCCACACUGGGACUGAGACACGGCCCAGACUCCUACGGGAGGGCAGCAGUGGGGAAGUCUUGCGCAAUGGGCGAAAGACCUGACGCAGCGACGCCGCGUGAGGGAUGACGGCCU
rnacentral:rRNA from 1 species